GUAUCCUCGUGGCCACAGAUUUGGCAUCUCGAGGGUUGGAUGUCCAUGACGUAACACACGUCUUCAACUUUGACUUCCCACGUAACAUCGAGGAAUAUGUUCAUCGUGUAGGUCGCACUGGCAGAGCAGGACGUUCAGGUGCUGCUGUGACCCUGGUGACAAGAGAGAACUGGAGAAUGGCACCUGAGCUAAUUCCCAUCAUGGAGCGAGCAGGACAGGAUAUCCCAGAGGAGCUGUUGCUUAUGGCAGAAAGGUAUCAAAAGCACAAGAAAGAGAAGGAAAUGUCCAAUCCAAGGGAGGACAGGGGCGAGGAGGA